ensembl:lincRNA 5031425F14Rik RIKEN cDNA 5031425F14 gene
AGGAGAGCCACAGACUCCAGAAGCAACACAUGACCAUUGGCCUCCCCAGGACUUCCUGGGACUUGCCUCACACCCUGCUUUCAUGCUCUAGGCUCCUUUCUUUCUCUGGUGAUAUUUCCUUCCAAUAACCCUGAGCUGGAGCAGCCCUGUGCUGGAGAGACUCUGAACUGGAGCAGCCCUGAGCUGGAGCAGCCCUGUGUUGGAGGGACCCUGAGCUGGAGCAGCCCUGUGCUGGAGGGACCCUGAGCUGGAGCAGCCCUGUGCUGGAGGGAACCUGAGCUGGAGCAGCCCUGUGCUGGAGGGACCCUGACUGAGCUGGAGCAGCCCUGUGCUGGAGGGACCCUGAGCUGGAGCAGCCCCGAGCUGGAACAGUCCCGAGCUGGAGGAUUCUCCCAGCUGCCUUUCUUGUUAGGAGUGAGCUGGUUUAUCUGUGGGUCACGGAGGUGUACUGAGCUCCAUCUGCAGAUCAGUUAAUCGCUAACAAAUGUGGGCGAGUUUUCACCCAGCACAGACCACAGGCCGUGUCUCAGACGCUUUGCCAAGCCAUUUUGGAGCUGUAAGCAACUGGCCUGCUUCCAAGCUGAAUCUGUUCUGGCACACAGAGGCCAUGAGCCUGUGAAGCUCUGACUCUGGCACUGGGAUUGGGUUCGUGAGGAAUCAUGAGCAAUGAGAUGGCCUCCAGUCAGUCAGCACGGCAGGAAGGGACUAGGACUCAGGAUUAGGGGCCGAGUCAUCACUGACCUUCACAGCGACCUCUGCACUGGCAGAGGUGGGAAAUGGGGUUUUCAGAACGCCUGCUUCGGUUGCUGGGCACUCUGUUUGGUUAGAGGGAUGGUGCUUCCGGAUUUCUGCUUGAAUGGUUUCCUCUACUCCCAUCCCUGAGUGCUCUCCCUGCCUGCGACCCACCUCUCAACACAUCCACUCAGGACAAGAUGGAUGAGGAUGAGACUAAUAGCUUCCAGGUGUGGCCUGGCUUCUGGGGUCUCCAUGUUCAUAUUGGGGCAUUAAUAAGCUUCUGCAUCGAGAGUGGUCUAGCUCAGCAUAGUCCAGACUGUAGUCCACAGAUGUGAGAGGCACCGAGACAAGAGGCCUUCAGCUCCAGUUAUAAGACUGUGCUUUGUUACGAGCAGAGCAGACGCUGUCUGUGGGGAUCCUAGUUCUGGACUCUCAUCAGGACGUUGGCAUCAGUGAACGCAUCUCAGACCUUUACUGAGGUAGUCACCGUUUUAAUCUGUCGGUCGUGAUUACAGUUGACAGACUCAAAAUAAAAAUUAAGAAAGUAUGAUAGGAAGAGCUCAUAGCUUGUGCCCUUAAAGGGAUCGACUUCAGACAUGGCUGGAUCCAGGCACUCGAAUGGCAGGAUCAGGGAAACAACCCCUCCAUCUCUCCCUCCCACCAUCUUGGUUGUCAGUGGUUUCUCCCCUCUCAGGGUAGUUCUGUUCUUGUACUUGUUUCCAUUUUCAGGAGCCCUAGGAGAAAGGCAUUUUUUUUUAUCCCAAAAUUUAAACCUAAGUACAAAAUAUGAGUCUUACAUAUCUGUCUCUAACCCAGUCUCUGAAGCCAAGGGCCCGGCAUCCACCGAUGGCUCAACGCCUCUACUGUUGUAGACAGAAACCCCAAAUUCAAACUUUUGCAACACACAGUCUAGAAAGAGGAAGGAGGGGAGUCAGCUAGUCGGGUUCCGUGAGCUUCUUGAGACAAGCUGGAAGGUGACAUGGGCCACACAGAAUUAAGGGAA